rnacentral:rRNA from 1 species
UACGUAGGGUGCGAGCGUUGUCCGGAAUUAUUGGGCGUAAAGAGCUUGUAGGCGGUUUGUCGCGUCUGCCGUGAAAAUCCGGGGCUCAACCCCGGACUUGCGGUGGGUACGGGCAGACUAGAGUGUGGUAGGGGAGACUGGAAUUCCUGGUGUAGCGGUGGAAUGCGCAGAUAUCAGGAGGAACACCGGUGGCGAAGGCGGGUCUCUGGGCAGUAACUGACGCUGAGGAGCGAAAGCGUGGGGAGCGAACAGG